rnacentral:rRNA from 1 species
UUAGAUACCCUAGUAGUCCUAGCCGUAAACGAUGGGUACUAGGUGUAAGGGGUUUCGAUACCUCCUGUGCCGCAGUUAACGCAAUAAGUACCCCGCCUGGGGAGUACGUGCGCAAGCAUGAAACUCAAAGGAAUUGACGGGGGCCCGCACAAGCGGUGGGGCAUGUGGUUUAAUUCGAAGCAACGCGAAGAACCUUACCAGGUCUUAACAUCCCUUGAUACCCUCAGAGAUGAGGCAUCUCUUCGGAGCAAGGAGACAGGUGGUGCAUGGUUGUCGUCAGCUCGUGUCGUGAGAUGUUGGGUUAAGUCCCGCAACGAGCGCAACCCUUGCCUUUAGUUGCCAGCAUUCAGUUGGGCACUCUAGAGGGACUGCCGGUGACAAACCGGAGGAAGGUGGGGAUGACGUCAAAUCAUCAUGCCCCUUAUGUCCUGGGCUACACACGUGCUACAAUGGUCUGUACAGAGGGAAGCUAAGCAGCGAUGUGGAGCGAAUCCCAGAAAACAGAUCUCAGUUCGGAUUGUAGGCUGCAACUCGCCUACAUGAAGCUGGAAUCGCUAGUAAUCGCAGGUCAGCAUACUGCGGUGAAUACGUUCCCGGGCCUUGUACACACCGCCCGUCACACCACGAAAGUUUGCAACACCCGAAGCCGGUGGCCUAACCCGUAAGGGGGGGAGCCGUCGAAGGUGGGGCAGAUGAUUGGGGUG